rnacentral:lncRNA from 1 species
AUGCCAGCAAAUUUGGGAAACUCAGAAGUGGCCACAGGACUGGAAAAGGUCAGUUUUCAUUCCAAUCCCAAAGAAAGACAUUGCCAAAGAUUGCUCAAACUACCACACAAUUGCAUUCAUCUCACGUGCUAUAAAGUAAUGCUCAAAAUUGUCCAAGCCAGGCUUCAGCAAUACGUGAACUGUGAACUUCCAGAUGUUCAAGCUGGUUUUAGAAAAGGCAGAGGAACCAGAGAUCAAAUUGCCAACAUCCACUGGAUCAUGGAAAAAGCAAGAGAGUUCCAGAGAAACAUCUAUUUCUGCGUUAUUGACUAUGCCAAAAACUUUGACUGUGUGGAUCACAAGAAACUGUGGAAAAUUCUGAAAGAGAUGGGAAUACCAGAGCACCUGAUCUGCCUCUUGAGAAACCUAUAUGCAGGUCAGGAAACAACAGUUAGAACUGGACAUGGAACAACAGACUGGUUCCAAAUAGGAAAAGGAGUACGUCACGGCUGUAUAUUGUCACUGUGCUUAUUUAACUUCUAUGCAGAGUACAUCAUGAGAAAUGCUGGGCUGGAAGAAGCACAGGCUGGAAUCAAGAUUUCCGGGAGAAAUAUCAAUAACCUCAGAUAUGCAGAUGACACCACCCUUAUGGCAGAAAGUGAAGAGGAACUAAAGAGCCUCUUGAUGAAAGUGAAAGAGGAGAGUGAAAAAGUUGACUUAAAGCUCAACAUUCAGAAAAUGAAGAUCAUGGCAUCUGGUCCCAUCACUUCAUGGCAAAUAGAUGGGGAAACAGUGGAAACAGUGUCAGACUUUAUUUUUGGGGGCUCCAAAAUCAGUGCAGAUGGUGAUUGCAGCCAUGAAAUUAAAAGACACUUACUCCUUGGGAGGAAAGUUAUGACCAACCUAGAUGGCAUAUUCAAAAGCAGAGACAUUACUUUGCCAACAAAUGUCCAUCUAGCCAAGGCUAUGGUUUUUCUAGUAGUCAUGUAUGGAUGUGAGAGUUGGACUGUGAAGAAGGCCAGGCACUUUUGA